ACGAUAACGGCGUCGAGCGGCGGACGGGUGAGUAAUGCCUAGGAAAUUGCCCUGAUGUGGGGGAUAACCAUUGGAAACGAUGGCUAAUACCGCAUGAUGCCUACGGGCCAAAGAGGGGGACCUUCGGGCCUCUCGCGUCAGGAUAUGCCUAGGUGGGAUUAGCUAGUUGGUGAGGUAAGGGCUCACCAAGGCGACGAUCCCUAGCUGGUCUGAGAGGAUGAUCAGCCACACUGGAACUGAGACACGGUCCAGACUCCUACGGGAGGCAGCAGUGGGGAAUAUUGCACAAUGGGCGCAAGCCUGAUGCAGCCAUGCCGCGUGUGUGAAGAAGGCCUUCGGGUUGUAAAGCACUUUCAGUCGUGAGGAAGGUAGUGUAGUUAAUAGCUGCAUUAUUUGACGUUAGCGACAGAAGAAGCACCGGCUAACUCCGUGCCAGCAGCCGCGGUAAUACGGAGGGUGCGAGCGUUAAUCGGAAUUACUGGGCGUAAAGCGCAUGCAGGUGGUUUGUUAAGUCAGAUGUGAAAGCCCGGGGCUCAACCUCGGAAUUGCAUUUGAAACUGGCAGACUAGAGUACUGUAGAGGGGGGUAGAAUUUCAGGUGUAGCGGUGAAAUGCGUAGAGAUCUGAAGGAAUACCGGUGGCGAAGGCGGCCCCCUGGACAGAUACUGACACUCAGAUGCGAAAGCGUGGGGAGCAAACAGGAUUAGAUACCCUGGUAGUCCACGCCGUAAACGAUGUCUACUUGGAGGUUGUGGCCUUGAGCCGUGGCUUUCGGAGCUAACGCGUUAAGUAGACCGCCUGGGGAGUACGGUCGCAAGAUUAAAACUCAAAUGAAUUGACGGGGGCCCGCACAAGCGGUGGAGCAUGUGGUUUAAUUCGAUGCAACGCGAAGAACCUUACCUACUCUUGACAUCCAGAGAACUUUCCAGAGAUGGAUUGGUGCCUUCGGGAACUCUGAGACAGGUGCUGCAUGGCUGUCGUCAGCUCGUGUUGUGAAAUGUUGGGUUAAGUCCCGCAACGAGCGCAACCCUUAUCCUUGUUUGCCAGCGAGUAAUGUCGGGAACUCCAGGGAGACUGCCGGUGAUAAACCGGAGGAAGGUGGGGACGACGUCAAGUCAUCAUGGCCCUUACGAGUAGGGCUACACACGUGCUACAAUGGCGCAUACAGAGGGCAGCCAACUUGCGAAAGUGAGCGAAUCCCAAAAAGUGCGUCGUAGUCCGGAUUGGAGUCUGCAACUCGACUCCAUGAAGUCGGAAUCGCUAGUAAUCGUGGAUCAGAAUGCCACGGUGAAUACGUUCCCGGGCCUUGUACACACCGCCCGUCACACCAUGGGAGUGGGCUGCAAAAGAAGUAGGUAGUUUAACCUUCGGGGGG
rnacentral:rRNA from 1 species